rnacentral:rRNA from 1 species
AUAUGCUAGUAUGACAUAUUAACGAUUUAAGUCCUUCUUAAAUGAGGCCAUUUACCCAUAGAGGGUGCCAGGCCCGUAUAACGUUAAUGAUUACUAGAAGAUAUUUCCAAAGAGUCGUGUUGCUUGAUAGUGCAGCACUAAGUGGGUGGUAAACUCCAUCUAAAACUAAAUAUAACCAUGAGACCGAUAGCAAACAAGUACCGUGAGGGAAAGUUGAAAAGAACUCUGAAUAGAGAGUUAAAUAGUACGUGAAACUGCUUAGAGGUUAAGCCCGAUGAACCUGAAUAUCCAUUAUGGAAAAUUCAUCAUUGUAAUUAUGAUAUUUUAAAAAUAUUAUGAGAAUAGUGUGCAUUUUUUCCAUAUAAGGACAUUGUAAUCUAUUAACAAUUAUAUAUUUAUCAAAAGAUCAUUGGCUUUAGUUUAUUUGAAUUAUCUUGUUUACAAGUUAACAUUGAAUAAAUGCUUAUGAUUUGAUAAAGUGUUGAUAGAUUUAUUAUAUAUAGUGCUUAAAUUAUUUAUAAUUUUACAAUAAUAUUUAAAUCAUGAUUUUUAUAUUCAUUGUAUGCGCUUAUAUGAUUAACAAUGCGAAAGAUUCAGGAUACCUUCGGGACCCGUCUUGAAACACGGACCAAGGAGUCUAACAUAUGUGCAAGUAAUUGGGAAUUUUUAAAACCUAAUUGCGAAAUAAACAUAACUUGUUAAUGGGAUUAAUUUUUAUAGGAAUUUAUUUUUAUAUUAAUUCAAUCCCGGGGCGUUCUAUAUAGUUAUGUAUAAUAAUAUUUAUAUUAUUUAUAC